CGUUGCUCGGAAUCACUGGGCGUAAAGGGUGCGUAGGCGGGUCUUUAAGUCAGGGGUGAAAUCCUGGAGCUCAACUCCAGAACUGCCUUUGAUACUGAGGAUCUUGAGUUCGGGAGAGGUGAGUGGAACUGCGAGUGUAGAGGUGAAAUUCGUAGAUAUUCGCAAGAACACCAGUGGCGAAGGCGGCUCACUGGCCCGAUACUGACGCUGAGGCACGAAAGCGUGGGGAGCAAACAGG
rnacentral:rRNA from 1 species